rnacentral:rRNA from 1 species
CCUACGGGAGGCAGCAGUGGGGAAUAUUGCACAAUGGGGGAAACCCUGAUGCAGCCAAGUCGCGUGAGGGAAGACUGCCCUAUGGGUUGUAAACCUCUUUUGUCAGGGAGCAACGCCGGCUACGUGUAGCCGGACUGAGAGUACCUGAAGAAAAAGCAUCGGCUAACUCCGUGCCAGCAGCCGCGGUAAUACGGAGGAUGCGAGCGUUAUCCGGAUUUAUUGGGUUUAAAGGGUGCGUAGGCGGAAUGCCAAGUCAGCGGUAAAAUCGCGGGGCUCAACCUCGCUCCGCCGUUGAAACUGGCGUUCUUGAGUGGGCGAGAAGUAUGCGGAAUGCGUGGUGUAGCGGUGAAAUGCAUAGAUAUCACGCAGAACCCCGAUUGCGAAGGCAGCCUUCCGGCGCCCUACUGACGCUGAGGCACGAAAGUGCGGGGAUCGAACAGGAUUAGAUACCCUGGUAGUC